UACGGAGGAUCCAAGCGUUAUCCGGAAUCAUUGGGUUUAAAGGGUCCGUAGGCGGUUUAGUAAGUCAGUGGUGAAAGCCCAUCGCUCAACGGUGGAACGGCCAUUGAUACUGCAAGACUUGAAUUAUUGGGAAGCAACUAGAAUAUGUAGUGUAGCGGUGAAAUGCUUAGAUAUUACAUGGAAUACCAAUUGCGAAGGCAGGUUGCUACCAAUACAUUGACGCUGAUGGAGCGAAAGCGUGGGGAGCAAACAGG
rnacentral:rRNA from 1 species